GACGUAGGGCGCAAGCGUUGUCCGGAUUUAUUGGGCGUAAAGAGCUCGUAGGCGGUUUGUCGCGUCGACUGUGAAAACCCGAGGCUUAACCUCGGGCCUGCAGUCGAUACGGGCAGACUAGAGUUCGGUAGGGGAGACUGGAAUUCCUGGUGUAGCGGUGAAAUGCGCAGAUAUCAGGAGGAACACCGGUGGCGAAGGCGGGUCUCUGGGCCGAUACUGACGUGAGGAGCGAAAGCGUGGGGAGCGAACAGG
rnacentral:rRNA from 1 species